UGUUCGCUCUUUUACACUCCAGCGGAAAAUCUGCACUUCUUUUCGAAGCGAAGCUUUACUUCCCAUAUUUGAAAUGGGCAUAAAAAUUUUGCGUGAGGGAAUCGAUAAAACCUUUCCUUUGUUCAGCAACAAAAUAGUUCUUGAUGAAUCGCUUUUGCUUAUUUACAAAUGUCUUUCCUUUGAUUUUAUCGGGACUUGUCCAGAGGAAAGCGGAGAAGAUCUCUACACUGUCGAUCUUCCUUGUUCGUGGAGGGGGGGUAUUACUGUUGACACUUUACGGCUGUUUUUUAAGGCUUACACUUUAUUUUGUGAAGAAAAUACGAAUGUAAUGGAGUGUAUUGUGCAACUGGCAUCCAUUCGACGCUCAUUUUUUCUUAAAGAAGAAAGGAAAACAUACUUUUCUUAUUUUAUUCACAACAUU